rnacentral:rRNA from 1 species
GACGAACCGUGCGAACGUUGUUCGGAAUCACUGGGCUUAAAGGGCGCGUAGGCGGGUUCCCAAGUCCGGGGUGAAAUCUUUCGGCUCAACCGGAAGACGGCCCUGGAGACUGGGAGUCUCGAGCGAGGUAGGGGCAGCUGGAAUUUCCGGUGUAGCGGUGAAAUGCGUAGAUAUCGGAAGGAACACCAGUGGCGAAAGCGGCUUCCUGGUCCAGCACCGACGUUCAGGCACGAAAGCGUGGGGAGCAAACAGG